rnacentral:rRNA from 15 species
AGCGCACGGCGGAUGCCUUGGCACUAGGAGCCGAUGAAGGACGGGACGAACACCGAUAUGCUCCGGGGAGCUGUAAGUAAGCAAUGAUCCGGAGAUUUCCGAAUGGGGGAACCCAAUACUCUUGAUCGAGUAUUAUCUACUAAGUGAAUUCAUAGCUUAGAAGAAGGAAGACGCAGCGAACUGAAACAUCUCAGUAGCUGUAGGAAGAGAAAGCAAAUGCGAUACCCUGAGUAGCGGCGAGCGAAACGGGUACAGGCCAAAC